UAGGGUGCAAGCGUUGUCCGGAAUUAUUGGGCGUAAAGAGCUCGUAGGCUGUUUGUUGCGUCGGCUGUGAAAUCCCGAGGCUCAACCUCGGGUCUGCAGUCGAUACGAGCAAACUAGAGUGUUGCAGGGGAGACUGGAAUUCCUGGUGUAGCGGUGAAAUGCGCAGAUAUCAGGAGGAACACCGGUGGCGAAGGCGGGUCUCUGGGCAACAACUGACGCUGAGGAGCGAAAGCGUGGGGAGCAAACAGG
rnacentral:rRNA from 1 species